ACGAGACUAUAUAUAUGUAGAGCUUCAUCCCAAAUUAUUCACCCAAAGUUCUGAAUUGCAUGAUUAUUCUGCAAAAGCAUAUACUAUAUAUAUCAUGAGGACGGUCCAAUAUACAUCUUCUCUUCUCUAUUCUCUGCUGAUUCUUCUAUUUUUCGUUCAAAUUCAAGCACAACCCAACUGUUCGUCUUCGUGCGGAGAAAUAAAAAACAUCAGCUACCCUUUUCGCCUAAAGGGCGAUCCAUCCGGCUGUGGUGACUCCGAUUACGAGCUCUCUUGUGUCGACAACAAAGCCAUCCUAGAGAUAUUCCCCGGGAGAUACUACGUGCACAACAUUUCCUACCAUGAUCAAACAAUCCGGUUGGUCGACGUCAACUUUGCAAACGGAAGCUGCGGACUUCCGUCUGGUCCUGUCGAAACAACGGACGGGUUCGUCCGGGAUGUUCGGUUCAGGGGAUAUGGGUUGAACCCAGGAAGUCGUUUCCGGUUCGUCAAGUGCUCAACAAACAUCAGCAGCGUGCCGGAAGCUGCUAAUCACACAACGGUUCCUUGCUUGACAAGAAACGGGACUUACGUCUACGCCGUUUAUGAUGGCGAUUACUCGUAUUAUGAACCUCGAAAGUCAUGCUCUGUCAUUUCGUUGGCUCCUGUCGAUCUUCGUAAAGAUGUUACGAAGUUCAAUUCAUAUGAGGCUGUCAUGGAACUAUUGAAAGCUGGCUUUGAAAUUGGAUGGUCAGUUAAGUGCAGAUUGCUCUUUGGCUGGUAAACAAUGCGUAGUAAAAUCAAUGGAUAAGCCACUCAUCUAUAUCUGUGAAAAAGAAUACAAAGAACUGACAAGAGCUGAAGGAAACUGGAUAAUUGCUGCAAUCGUUGUGGGAGGUCUGAUUGCUCUGGGAGUUAUCAUUGGUAUAAUUGUAGUUGUCAUCCGAAGAUGUCGGAGAAGACGAAAUGCAGCAGAUAACACGAACAAGAAUCUGCAGAAUCGGAUUGAUGCUUGAGCCAACAAUCAGAAAUUCUUGGAUGCGUGAAUUCCAUAAAAAAUUAUUUCCUUCUGUUUUUGUAAUGCAGUUUAAAGAAUGUAGCUCGAUUUUUCCGUUUCUUUUUUGGAUGUAUAAUUCAGUAAAUUACUAAGUGUAAUUCCAAAUUAUUUCGUAAAUUACCAGGAGAAAUAAAUCAAAUGUGAAUUUUGGCAAAAAA